rnacentral:rRNA from 1 species
UUCCUACGGGGGGCAGCAGUGGGGAAUAUUGCGCAAUGGGCGAAAGCCUGACGCAGCAACGCCGCGUGAGGGAUGACGGCCUUCGGGUUGUAAACCUCUUUCAGCAGGGAAGAAGCGAAAGUGACGGUACCUGCAGAAGAAGCACCGGCUAACUACGUGCCAGCAGCCGCGGUAAUACGAAGGGUGCAAGCGUUGUCCGGAUUUAUUGGGCGUAAAGAGCUCGUAGGCGGUUAGUCACGUCGGAUGUGAAAACCCGGGGCUUACCUCCGGGCCUGCAUUCGAUACGGGCUGACUAGAGUGUUGUAGGGGAGACUGGAACUCCGGGUGUAGCGGUGAAAUGCGCAGAUAUCAGGAAGAACACCGGUGGCGAAGGCGGGUCUCUGGGCAACUACUGACGCUGAGGAGCGAAAGCGUGGGGAGCAAACAGGAUUAGAUACCCUAGUAGUCA